rnacentral:tRNA from 1 species
GGACUCGUAACUCAAUCGGCAGAGUAGCGCCCUUUUAAGGCGAAGGUUGUGGGAUCGUUGCCCACCGAGUCCACCA